rnacentral:tRNA from 1 species
ACUUAAGUAGUUUAGAAUAAAAUACUAAUUUGUGGAGUUAGUGAUGUAUAAAAAUAAUUACCUUAGGUU